CAUUUAUAUAAUGCAAUAUGUAUAUACCUAUUUUAAUCUCGAAAAGGAUUUUAGUUGUAAAUCAUUUUAAUUUUUUGAUUUUCAACCUAAAAAGAAAGCUAUUUUCAAGUUUUUUCCAAUGCUAAACUUUUCCCCGGCCUAUUUUGUAAUUUAAAUAUUCUUGGUAAAACAGUAAAUCACCGAACACUAUAAUAAUACAACUAAAAUUACUUAAUAGGUGCUUCAAAAAAAAAAAAAAAAAUAAAUAAAUAAAAACAUGUUAUUUGAACAUAAACAUGAUAGUGUAUGGGGUUGAAUAUUGAAACUUUCAAAAGUAGCAUUCAUUGGCUAUCGUCAAAUGUAUACAAUAUUUUAUUUCCUUGAUUUAGUUUUUAGUGUUCAAUUAAAAAGAAAAAAAAAAAAAACACCUCUCUCCCACAACUACAUAAUGAAAAUCGUAUUGAAAUUCAACCCAAGUUUAAUCACUACAAUUCACCUACAAAACAACUCUAUAGUUCUCGAGUUUAAGCUCAUAUUAUCCAAAAGGGGCCAUUAAAUGUGUGCAGCUAAUAUAGUGUAAACCUAUAUAAAUAUAAAUAACCGGCAGUGUAGCCUUUAAUAAUCUCUAUUUUCAGGGAAUAUUUGACCAAAAAUCUGUUUACAUUUAAUUAAAAAUAAAUGUGCUAUUGUUUAUUUAUUUUCAAUUGUGUAUAGUUUGG